rnacentral:rRNA from 1 species
GUGAGGAAUAUUGGUCAAUGGGCGGGAGCCUGAACCAGCCAAGUCGCGUGAAGGAAGAAGGAUCUAUGGUUCGUAAACUUCUUUUGCAGGGGAAUAAAGUGCAGGACGUGUCCUGUUUUGUAUGUACCCUGAGAAUAAGGAUCGGCUAACUCCGUGCCAGCAGCCGCGGUAAUACGGAGGAUCCGAGCGUUAUCCGGAUUUAUUGGGUUUAAAGGGUGCGUAGGUGGUUUGAUAAGUCAGCGGUGAAAGUUUGCAGCUUAACUGUAAAAAUGCCGUUGAGACUGUCGGACUUGAGUGUAAAUGAGGUAGGCGGAAUGCGUGGUGUAGCGGUGAAAUGCAUAGAUAUCACGCAGAACUCCGAUUGCGAAGGCAGCUUACUAAGCUACAACUGACACUGAAGCACGAAAGCGUGGGGAUCAAACA